GCGAUCGCUUUUAAAUGUCACGUCUCCCAGCUAUGUCAUCAGUUUGAAAUGUAUCUUUAUUUCUAUUAUGUUGCAUCAUGGAUCCGAACACCACACAUUUUACAAAUUUCCAAGCACUCUUAAUUGGGGCGAGGAGGAAAUUCGAGGAAAAAUGGAAACAGCCGUUUGUGGAAAGGGGAAAAUUGGACGAUUUCAAACUUGUUCAGACCCUAGGAACUGGAUCAUUCGGCAGAGUUAUGCUAGUGAAAUUGAAGAAGGAUGAUAGUCCUUACGCGUUGAAGAUGCUGGAAAAAGCUCAUGUAGUAAAAACUAAGCAAGUUAAACACACUUUAUCGGAAAUUCGGACUAUGGAUGCUUUUGAUUUUCCGUUUCUAAUAAAGUUGGAGUAUUUCUUCAAAGAUAAUGUUUAUUUGUGCUUGGUUAUGCCUUUUAUAAAUGGAGGGGAGAUGUUUUCGCAUUUGCGACAACAGAAGAGGUUUUCUGAGGAGUUAACUCGCUUCUAUGCAGCUCAAGUUAUUCUAGCCUUCGAAUAUAUACACUUUCUGGGCAUUAUUUAUAGAGAUUUAAAGCCUGAAAAUAUAUUGAUUGAUUGCAUAGGGUAUCUCAAAUUAACCGACUACGGUUUCUGUAAAAAAGUUGACGACCAGAGGACCUAUACUCUUUGUGGAACCCCUGAAUACUUGGCACCCGAAAUAAUCCUCAGUCAAGGUUAUAACAAAUCGGUAGAUUGGUGGGCUCUUGGAAUUCUAAUUUUCGAGAUGGCAGCUGGAUAUCCCCCGUUUUAUGCCAGAGACCCGAUGAAAAUUUAUGAAAAAAUUGUUUCUGGAAAAUAUAUCCCGGCUAAUCAUUUCUCGAAAAGUUUGAAGGAUCUCAUUCAGAAUAUUUUACAGGUAGAUAGAACUAAGAGAUUUGGCAUUUUAAAAAAUGGAGCGAAAGAUGUCAAGCAACAUGUUUUUUUCAAAGAUAUUAUUUGGGAUACAAUUUAUUAUAAGACGAUGGCACCACCAUAUCUCGUUAAUAUAACGGAUGGAGACGACACAACUCAUUUCGAUAAAUUCACGGAGGUGCCUUUAAAAAAAUGUUCCAAAAAUUUAUUUGCUGCAGAAUUUUCCAAGAUAGAAGCAAAGGCUGGAGCUGUUUCUUUCGAAGAGAACUGAUUUUUGAAGUAGAAAUAUUAUAGGUGGAAACUGAAAAAUUAUAUGGCGAUUUCGUCCGAAUUUUAAUGAUAUAUUGCUAUCAUGCAAAAUCUUAACGUUUCACAGCUGCUAAAGGUAUGGAGUAUUAAAGGACGGAUCCAAAGAUGUGAAAGCUCACAAUUUCUUCAAGGGAUUCGAAUGGGACCCCCUUCU